GUGUUCCGGUAGCGCAAUGGAUAGCGCGUUGAACUUCUAAUCCAAGGGUCUUGGGUUCGAAUCUCGACCGGCAUG